CAUGAAGCUGGUCAAUUCCACAAAUCAUCCUGUUGUGGAGUCAAGAUGAUUAGGAGAGUUUAAGGUACACUUAAUUCUAACGUCAAGGUCCACCUCAAAAUUUAUUGCAACGCCGACAGUGAUAGACGACGGAACACCACCAGGAACUCUGGGGAGAAGCCGACUCGACAUACCACUCAUCCCUUUCGUCCUUCCAGUUAGAAAUAAAUUCCUCUGGUUCCACGUUGGCCAAGCCGAGAAUCGAACUUCAGACCACCGGAUUAAUAGGCGAGUGCGAAAUCCACUCGUCCAGAUAUGUGGUUAUUCAGCAACGGGACCAACGGCUUUACGUGACUUCCGAAUCCCGUCGAGAGUGAACUUCUACCACCAGAUAUACACAUCUCUCACUCUUCAAUGGAAAGGCCGAGAAUCGAAAACGCGCCCACUGAGGUGGGACGCAAACACCAUA